UACGAAGGUGGCAAGCGUUGUUCGGAUUUACUGGGCGUACAGGGCGCGUAGGCGGUUGGAUAAGCCCUCCGUGAAAUCUCCAGGCUUAACCUGGAAAGUGCAGAGGGGACUGUUCAGCUAGAGGAUGGGAGAGGAGCGCGGAAUUCCCGGUGUAGCGGUGAAAUGCGCAGAUAUCGGGAGGAACACCAGUGGCGAAGGCGGAACUCUGGGCCGGAACUGACGCUGAGGAGCGAAAGCGUGGGGAGCGAACAGG
rnacentral:rRNA from 1 species